rnacentral:rRNA from 1 species
UACGUAGGGUGCAAGCGUUGUCCGGAAUUAUUGGGCGUAAAGAGCUCGUAGGCGGUUUGUCGCGUCUGCUGUGAAAACUGGAGGCUCAACCUCCAGCCUGCAGUGGGUACGGGCAGACUAGAGUGCGGUAGGGGAGAUUGGAAUUCCUGGUGUAGCGGUGGAAUGCGCAGAUAUCAGGAGGAACACCGAUGGCGAAGGCAGGUCUCUGGGCCACUACUGACGCUGAGAAGCGAAAGCGUGGGGAGCGAACAGG